UACGGAGGGGGCUAGCGUUGUUCGGAAUUACUGGGCGUAAAGCGCACGUAGGCGGGUCUUUAAGUCAGGGGUGAAAUCCUGGAGCUCAACUCCAGAACUGCCUUUGAUACUGAGGAUCUUGAGUUCGGGAGAGGUGAGUGGAACUGCGAGUGUAGAGGUGAAAUUCGUAGAUAUCUGGAGGAACACCGGUGGCGAAAGCGGCUCACUGGAUCGAUACUGACGCUGAGGUGCGAAAGCUAGGGUAGCAAACGGG
rnacentral:rRNA from 1 species